rnacentral:pre_miRNA from 1 species
AGUAGAAUUGGUGGGUCAUAUGGUAACUCUCUGUUCAACAUUUUGAGGAACUGCCAAACUGUUUCCCAAUGCGGCUCACCAUUUUACAAUCCCAUCAGAAGU